AUUGAACGCUGGCGGCAUGCCUAACACAUGCAAGUCGAACGGCAGCACGGUAGCUUGUUGCUGUUGGGGAGUGCGGGAGGCGGGCGUGUUACAUAGACAUCUGAAUCGACGUGUGGGUUGGCGCGGAGGAAGCCGGAUUUAUACUACUAACGCAUAACGCCUGCGGGCGAGGGCCCUGGGGGUUUCGAGCUUUCGCGUUGGAAGAAGCCGAUUUCGGAUUAGCUAGUUGGCGGGGUAAAGGCCUACCAAGGCGACGAUCCGUAGCUGGUCUGAGAGGAUGACCAGCCACACUGGAACUGAGACACGGCCCAGACUCCUACGGGAGGCAGCAGUGGGGAAUUUUGGACAAUGGGCGAAAGCCUGAUCCAGCAAUACCGCGUGUGUGAAGAAGGCCUUCGGGUUGUAAAGCACUUUUGUUCGGAAAGAAAACCAUGAGGCUAAUACGGUCCUGUUAUGACGGUACCGAAAGAAUAAGCACCGGCUAACUACGUG
rnacentral:rRNA from 1 species